AGUGAACGCUGGCGGUAGGCCUAACACAUGCAAGUCGAACGGCAGCACAGUAAGAGCUUGCUCUUACGGGUGGCGAGUGGCGGACGGGUGAGGAAUACAUCGGAAUCUACUUUUUCGUGGGGGAUAACGUAGGGAAACUUACGCUCAUACCGCAUACGACCUACGGGUGAAAGCAGGGGAUCUUCGGACCUUGCGCGAUUGAAUGAGCCGAUGUCGGAUUAGCUAGUUGGCGGGGUAAAGGCCCACCAAGGCGACGAUCCGUAGCUGGUCUGGGAGGAUGAUCAGCCACACUGGAACUGAGACACGGUCCAGACUCCUACGGGAGGCAGCAGUGGGGAAUAUUGGACAAUGGGCGCAAGCCUGAUCCAGCCAUACCGCGUGGGUGAAGAAGGCCUUCGGGUUGUAAAGCCCUUUUGUUGGGAAAGAAAAGCAGCAGGUUAAUACCCCGCUGUUCUGACGGUACCCAAAGAAUAAGCACCGGCUAACUUCGUG
rnacentral:rRNA from 1 species